rnacentral:tRNA from 1 species
AGCCCUGAGGUGCAUGAAGCACGUCGGAUUGCAACCCCGAAGGUGUAAAUUAGUAGUUUGCCGGGGCUU